GGUGAGAUAGACUUGUACGGCGCAAGAGCGGACUGUAAAUCCGAUCCGAAAGGCCAGGAGGUUCGAUUCCUUCUCUCACCACCA
rnacentral:tRNA from 1 species